UGGGGAAUAUUGCACAAUGGGGGAAACCCUGAUGCAGCGACGCCGCGUGAGCGAUGAAGGCUUUCGAGUCGUAAAGCUCUGUCCUAUGGGAAGAUAAUGACGGUACCAUAGAAGAAAGCCCCGGCUAAUUACGUGCCAGCAGCCGCGGUAAUACGUAAGGGGCGAGCGUUGUCCGGAAUUAUUGGGCGUAAAGAGUGCGUAGGCGGCAAAUUAAGUCAGAUGUGAAAACUAAGGGCUCAACCCAUAGAUUGCAUCUGAAACUGAUAUGCUUGAGUCAAGGAGAGGAAAGUGGAAUUCCUAGUGUAGCGGUGGAAUGCGUAGAUAUUAGGAGGAAUACCGGUGGCGAAGGCGGCUUUCUGGACUGCAACUGACACUGAGGCACGAAAGCGUGGGUAGCAAACAGG
rnacentral:rRNA from 1 species